CAGCAGCCGCGGGAAUACCGAGGGUGCGAGCGUUAAUCGGAUUUACUGGGCGUAAAGCGUGCGUAGGCGGCUUCUUAAGUCGGAUGUGAAAUCCCUGAGCUUAACUUAGGAAUUGCAUUUGAUACUGGGAAGCUAGAGUAUGGGAGAGGAUGGUAGAAUUCCAGGUGUAGCGGUGAAAUGCGUAGAGAUCUGGAGGAAUACCGAUGGCGAAGGCAGCCAUCUGGCCUAAUACUGACGCUGAGGUACGAAAGCAUGGGGAGCAAACAGGAUUAGAUACCCCGGUAGUCCCUGUCUCUUAUAC
rnacentral:rRNA from 1 species